UACGAAGGGGGCUAGCGUUGUUCGGAAUUACUGGGCGUAAAGCGUGCGCAGGCGGUUCGUCGUGUCCGAUGUGAAAGCCCCGGGCUCAACCUGGGAAUGGCAUUGGAAACUGGCGGACUCGAGUGUGGCAGAGGGGGGUGGAAUUCCGCGUGUAGCAGUGAAAUGCGUAGAGAUGCGGAGGAACACCGAUGGCGAAGGCAGCCCCCUGGGCUAACACUGACGCUCAGGCACGAAAGCGUGGGGAGCAAACAGG
rnacentral:rRNA from 1 species